rnacentral:tRNA from 1 species
GCCGAGGUGGCGGAAUUGGCAGACGCGCUGGGUUCAGGACCCAGUGGGAGUUGAUCCCGUGGGGGUUCGAGUCCCCCCCUCGGCA